GGCGCGGUACCCAAGUGGUUAAGGGAGCGGUCUGCAAAACCGCUAUGCACCGGUUCGAAUCCGGUCCGCGCCUCCA
rnacentral:tRNA from 1 species